ACAAUGGGUACACAAGGGAGCAGAAGAAACCUCUAGCAGAUGCCUCUGAUUUCUGAUACAGCGGGGGACGAUGCGUGGCAAUCCAAGCCUUUAAGCCCCUGGACAAAGAACAAGGUAAGACACAACACAAUGUAUAAGCAACAGAUUUACGCUUUGGAAAAGCAGGAGAUUUAGGAGCAAAAUAAAACAAGCACAUUGUUGAUUUUCUUCUAAUGCCCCAUAACAGCAUCUGCCCCAAAAAUAAAGGAGACAAAAUGUGGAUCAGAAGAUACUGACGUCAAAAAUGGUGCAACCAUGUACAGCUUCAUUCCAUUCACUCCACGAGAUACCGCAUCAUCACUAGCUGGCAAGAGAUCGUC
rnacentral:lncRNA from 1 species